GAACUCCAUAAAUUCAUGUAACUUGAAUACUAAAUGAAUUACUUUUAGGACUUCUGUGGUUCUUACUACAUAAAUAUUUAGAAUCUAGAAGUAAUAAUUUACACUUUUCUUGCUCAGUGCUUUACUUUUAGGCUAUGUGAAUAAGGAGAUGUAUGACCACAGUCAAACUGCAGUGAAACUGUCCUACAAACUGUAGGACUUUCAUUUAUAGCAUGACCAGUAUGGUGUAAGGUAGCCUUUUUGUAAAUGAGAAAUGGAACCCUGUUUCUAUUUGAGAAUAUUCAUUCAGAACAAGUCCCAUGCUCAGUUCCUGUCCACAUUUAGCCUGUCCUAACAAUGUGUAGGACAAAGUUGAAAAGAGAAACUUGUAAGACUUCAGAAAGUCUUCAGUCUGUCCUCAAAUUCUUUGCCAAAGCAGAAAAUACCAGUGAUUUUUCAGUACAAACUUGUGCCAGAAGACAGUAGCUAUCUUAGCAUUCCCAGGACACAGACCACUUUGGGGACUUGUGACUUCUUUAAAAUAAGCUAAUAAUAGAGAGAGCAUGACUGGCAACAUCUCUUUGUAUAUAGUGAUGUAUUUGGAAUCAACAGUAAUGCUUGAACUGAGAUCCUUUACCUUUGAAAGGAUAGGGAAAGAAAUGAAAAUAAAGUUCUGGAACUAUGAAACUGCAUCAUUCUGAGAAAAGUGAUGCUAGUCACACAACGCAGAGAAAAUGCAUCUGAUCAAGGAUAAUUGUAUAAUUUUAAUUUACUGGAUGACUCCACUUAGAUCUGUUGUGAAAAGUCAGAUGAUGAAACAUAAACACCGUCCAAACUGAUGUCUGGUAUCAUAUCUGUAAAAAUGUGUGUUGCUUUAAGAGGCCACUCUUCUGUUCCCGUGCUCCCAGAAGUUGAUGUUUUUUCCACAUGUGGAAUAACCUAAUAGAACUAGCUGAUCAUAAAUUGUAGAGUGGAAACAAUUAUUUUUAGUAUCACCUGUCCUGUAAGGUACAAUGUCUGAAUGUCUGAA
rnacentral:lncRNA from 1 species